GACGAGUGGCGCACGGGUGCGUAACGCGUAUGCAAUCUACCUUUUACAGUGGGAUAGCCCAGAGAAAUUUGGAUUAAUACCGCAUAGUAUAUAGAAUUGGCAUCGAUUUUAUAUUAAACAUUUAUGGGUAAAAGAUGAGCAUGCGUUCUAUUAGCUAGAUGGAGUGGUAACGGCACCCCAUGGCGACGAUAGAUAGGGGCCCUGAGAGGGGGAUCCCCCACACUGGUACUGAGACACGGACCAGACUCCUACGGGAGGCAGCAGUGAGGAAUAUUGGACAAUGGGCGCAAGCCUGAUCCAGCCAUGCCGCGUGCAGGAAGACUGCCCUAUGGGUUGUAAACUGCUUUUAUACGGGAAGAAACACCCCCUCGUGAGGGGGCUUGACGGUACCGUAAGAAUAAGGAUCGGCUAACUCCGUGCCAGCAGCCGCGGUAAUACGGAGGAUCCAAGC
rnacentral:rRNA from 1 species